GGGGAUUUAGCUCAGUGGUUCCAGCGCUUGCCUUGCAAGCAAAAGGUCCCAAGUUCAAUCCCCC
rnacentral:tRNA from 1 species